AGUGAACGCUGGCGGUAGGCCUAACACAUGCAAGUCGAACGGCAGCACAGUAAGAGCUUGCUCUUACGGGUGGCGAGUGGCGGACGGGUGAGGAAUACAUCGGAAUCUACUUUUUCGUGGGGGAUAACGUAGGGAAACUUACGCUAAUACCGCAUACGACCUACGGGUGAAAGCAGGGGAUCUUCGGACCUUGCGCGAUUGAAUGAGCCGAUGUCGGAUUAGCUAGUUGGCGGGGUAAAGGCCCACCAAGGCGACGAUCCGUAGCUGGUCUGAGAGGAUGAUCAGCCACACUGGAACUGAGACACGGUCCAGACUCCUACGGGAGGCAGCAGUGGGGAAUAUUGGACAAUGGGCGCAAGCCUGAUCCAGCCAUACCGCGUGGGUGAAGAAGGCCUUCGGGUUGUAAAGCCCUUUUGUUGGGAAAGAAAAGCAGCAGGUUAAUACCCCGCGGUUCUGACGGUACCCAAAGAAGAAGCACCGGCUAACUUCGUG
rnacentral:rRNA from 1 species